GCAUGAUAUUUUUAUUAAAGAAUUUCGGUUAUCGAUGGGGAUGCGUUCCAUUAGUUUGUUGGCGGGGUAACGGCCCACCAAGACUACGAUGGAUAGGGGUUCUGAGAGGAAGGUCCCCCACAUUGGAACUGAGACACGGUCCAAACUCCUACGGGAGGCAGCAGUGAGGAAUAUUGGUCAAUGGGCGAGAGCCUGAACCAGCCAAGUAGCGUGAAGGAUGAAGGCUCUAUGGGUCGUAAACUUCUUUUAUAUGGGGAUAAAGUAUUCCACGUGUGGAAUUUUGUAUGUACCAUAUGAAUAAGGAUCGGCUAACUCCGUGCCAGCAGCCGCGGUAAUACGGAGGAUCCGAGCGUUAUCCGGAUUUAUUGGGUUUAAAGGGAGCGUAGGUGGAUUGUUAAGUCAGUUGUGAAAGUUUGCGGCUCAACCGUAAAAUUGCAGUUGAAACUGGCAGUCUUGAGUACAGUAGAGGUGGGCGGAAUUCGUGGUGUAGCGGUGAAAUGCUUAGAUAUCACGAAGAACUCCGAUUGCGAAGGCAGCUCACUAGACUGUUACUGACACUGAUGCUCGAAAGUGUGGGUGUCAAACAGGAUUAGAUACCCUGGUAGUCCACACAGUAAACGAUGAAUACUCGCUGUUUGCGAUAUACAGUAAGCGGCC
rnacentral:rRNA from 1 species